UACGAGCGGCCCAAACGUUAUUCGGAAUUACUGGGCUUAAAGAGUCCGUAGGCGGCGCGGAAAGUGGGGUGUGAAAGCCCUCGGCUCAACCGAGGAAUUGCGCUCCAAACUACCGUGCUUGAGGAACCUAGAGGUAAGCAGAACUGAUGGUGGAGCGGUGAAAUGCGUUGAUAUCAUCAGGAAUACCGGAGGCGAAGGCGGCUCACUGGGGGUUUUCUGACGCUGAGGGACGAAAGCCAGGGUAGCGAACGGG
rnacentral:rRNA from 1 species